rnacentral:rRNA from 1 species
UACGAAGGGGACUAGCGUUGUUCGGAAUCACUGGGCGUAAAGCGCACGUAGGCGGUUUGUCGCGUCUGCUGUGAAAACUGGAGGCUCAACCUCCAGCCUGCAGUGGGUACGGGCAAACUAGAGUGCGGUAGGGGAGAUUGGAAUUCCUGGUGUAGCGGUGGAAUGCGCAGAUAUCAGGAGGAACACCGGUGGCGAAGGCGGGUCUCUGGGCCGAUACUGACGCUGAGGAGCGAAAGCGUGGGGAGCGAACAGG